UACGAAGGGGGCUAGCGUUGCUCGGAAUCACUGGGCGUAAAGGGUGCGUAGGCGGGUCUUUAAGUCAGGGGUGAAAUCCUGGAGCUCAACUCCAGAACUGCCUUUGAUACUGAAGAUCUUGAGUCCGGGAGAGGUGAGUGGAACUGCGAGUGUAGAGGUGAAAUUCGUAGAUAUUCGCAAGAACACCAGUGGCGAAGGCGGCUCACUGGCCCGAUACUGACGCUGAGACGCGAAAGCGUGGGGAGCAAACAGG
rnacentral:rRNA from 1 species